rnacentral:rRNA from 1 species
UACAGAGGUCUCAAGCGUUGUUCGGAUUCAUUGGGCGUAAAGGGUGCGUAGGCGGCGCGGUAAGUCGGGUGUGAAAUUUCGGAGCUUAACUCCGAAACUGCAUUCGAUACUGCGGUGCUUGAGGACUGGAGAGGAGACUGGAAUUCAUGGUGUAGCAGUGAAAUGCGUAGAGAUCAUGAGGAAGACCAGUGGCGAAGGCUGGGUCGUCGUGGACAGUUCCUGACACUGAGGCACGAAGGCCAGGGGAGCAAACGGGG